UACGUAGGGUGCAAGCGUUACUCGGAAUUACUGGGCGUAAAGCGUGCGCAGGCGGUUGUGCAAGACCGAUGUGAAAUCCCCGGGCUUAACCUGGGAACUGCAUUGGUGACUGCACGGCUAGAGUGUGUCAGAGGGGGGUAGAAUUCCACGUGUAGCAGUGAAAUGCGUAGAGAUGUGGAGGAAUACCGAUGGCGAAGGCAGCCCCCUGGGAUAACACUGACGCUCAUGCACGAAAGCGUGGGGAGCAAACAGG
rnacentral:rRNA from 1 species